rnacentral:rRNA from 1 species
AACGAACGCUGGCGGCAUGCCUAACACAUGCAAGUCGAACGAGACCUUCGGGUCUAGUGGCGCACGGGUGCGUAACGCGUGGGAACCUGCCCUUAGGUUCGGAAUAACUCCCCGAAAGGGGUGCUAAUACCGGAUAAUGUCUUCGGACCAAAGAUUUAUCGCCUUUGGAUGGGCCCGCGUUGGAUUAGCUAGUUGGUAGGGUAAAAGCCUACCAAGGCGACGAUGCAUAGCUGGUCUGAGAGGAUGAUCAGCCACACUGGGACUGAGACACGGCCCAGACUCCUACGGGAGGCAGCAGUGGGGAAUAUUGGACAAUGGGCGAAAGCCUGAUCCAGCAAUGCCGGGUGAGUGAUGAAGGCCUUAGGGUUGUAAAGCUCUUUUACCCGGGAUGAUAAUGACAGUACCGGGAGAAUAAGCUCCGGCUAACUCCGUG